rnacentral:rRNA from 1 species
AACGAACGCUGGCGGCAUGCCUAACACAUGCAAGUCGAACGAGACCUUCGGGUCUAGUGGCGCACGGGUGCGUAACGCGUGGGAACCUGCCCUUAGGUUCGGAAUAACUCCCCGAAAGGGGUGCUAAUACCGGAUAAUGUCUUCGGACCAAAGAUUUAUCGCCUUUGGAUGGGCCCGCGUUGGAUUAGCUAGUUGGUAGGGUAAAAGCCUACCAAGGCGACGAUCCAUAGCUGGUCUGAGAGGAUGAUCAGCCACACUGGGACUGAGACACGGCCCAGACUCCUACGGGAGGCAGCAGUGGGGAAUAUUGGACAAUGGGCGAAAGCCUGAUCCAGCAAUGCCGCGUGAGUGAUGAAGGCCUUAGGGUUGUAAAGCUCUUUUACCCGGGAUGAUAAUGACAGUAUCGGGAGAAUAAGCGCCGGCUAACUCCGUG